rnacentral:tRNA from 1 species
GCUGAAAUAGCUCAGUUGGUAGAGCGUCAGACCGUAGAUCCCAAAGGUCCGUGGUUCGAUCCCGGGCUCCGACA